UCCCUCAACAUCCCUGAAGCAGGCAGCCGGGUGAUAACCGGGUGGCCAAAACACAGCUAAACCAUGAUGGGAACCAAAUGGAAAGGCAAUGCCAGUUAACUCAGGUUUCCAGGCGACUGGCAAACGUGGAAAUAUGAAAACACUUCAAGGACACAGAGAUCUCACUGCUAUGUGCACAUGUAGACUGCAAGGUGUCAUGGGAAGCUGGGACAUUAACACUUUCAGUCAGCCCAAAUUACGAGACCAAAUGAUGCACGACAACGUCACACGAUUCCCUGGGAAACAGUAAUUCAUUUUAUUACAUAAAUCCUGAGUUUUACCUUCACAAGAGGUUUCCUGCUUCAGAAGGUACACAUAAUAUAUCCUUGUUUUAAACAUAUAACUUUUCUUAAAAUAAGCUUCUCUCUACUGAGUGAAUUGUGAAUAUUUAGACUAUUGAGACCCACAAAUUACUAGUCUGCCCAGAAUCCCCCCAUCUCAUCUUGGCCUGGACUCAGGUACCAGCUACUGCUUAGACUUCAGGAGGAGACCAUGGCCUGCCAUCCCAGCUGUUAAUUGUUCUCCUAAGUGUCUGCCCGGCUCUUUAGCACCCGGAAGGACACAACAGAGGACAGGAACAGAGUUGAGCAAUCCAGGGGGAUAAGGGUUAACCAUUGCUCGCCUCUUCCAGUCCUGGUUCCAGAUGCCAACCCUCCUGCUUGAGAAGGUGAGUUGCGAGGGCCUGGUCAUUGGCUAAAGCAGCAGCAGGCUUCCUUAAUUCAAACAAGCCCUCAGCUGGCAGCACCGGGCACUGCAGUUAGGAGUCAGGCGGGGGCACCGGCAGGCAGCCCAGCCCAGGGCCUCGCAGGGGGAUUUAUUUAUGGUCCUGGGAGCGGGGCGGAUGGAGCAGUCCGCUGGCUCAGCCUCCUGCUGUUUACUUCUCCAGCCCCCGCUUCCAGACCCAGAAGUCCCCUCACCUUCGGCUCCGGCUCUCAGCCCGCCACGCAAAGCCGCGGUCACCGGGAUACACGACUCCGGGGAACUCUGCCUUUGCGUGCAACUAGUUUAUCCUUCACAGCUUGACCUUCGUCCUGCCCCCCUCCCUGGCUAUAUCCAGUCUGGUCUCCACCUGUUCCUCAGGCUUUGCUCUCAUUAAGGCAGGACCAGCAAAAAACGCCCCCGCCCCUGCUCCCGCACCCCAGCGCUCCCAACUUCCCAAACGCUGGGCUGGACUGAAGCGGUCCCGAUUCAAAUCAGGAUUGCAAACGGCAUUUCAUUUAGUAGUCAGCACCAAGAGCAUUCUUAGUCUCUUCCAAUCUGUGACAGUUUCUCAGAUUUUCCUUAUCAUUCAUGACCUCGACACUUUUGAAGAGAGCUGGUCGUGUAUUUUGUCCCUCAAUUUGGAUUUGCCUGAUGUUUUCUUAAUAUGCUAAAUUCAAGUAGAGGUGAGUGGUGUCAGCAGAUGCUCCCAGGGAACAUGAGAGGCUGAUGCUCGAUUAAUGUGCUUACCUCUCCAGGUACUGACUUUUGGGCAAAAACUGGCCCAUGAGCUUCCAAGUGUGUUCAGUUCUAUGAUGUUGAACAAGCUUCAAGUUGUUGUUAUUUUAAGUCCAGUAUUUUUCAUUAUUUUUAGAGGGAGGGUUGAUCUGUACGACCUAGUCCAUCAUUAACCAGCAAAUAGAAGUUGACAAUAGUCACUUAAUCACUAAGGUUUAUAGAUUAACAGUGACUGGACCAGCUGAGUCAUUUGUCAGACACAAGUUUGAAGGAAAGUCACAUUUGGUAAAGUAUGGCUACUGGUCCUUUCCAUUUCUUGAGUCAUUACUCUCUACUUGCCCCUACACUAAACUCUUGAGGUGCAUUGUCUCCUUUGAUUAUCAAAACACAGCUGUGAAGUACAGCCUAUUUUUAUUCCCAUUUAACAGAUAAAGAAACAAAGUGAAACAGAGCUGUUCAAACUAGGAUCUGCCUGACUACAGACUUCAUCUAGGCAAGCCCUCUUACCUAUAGUGCCUCCCAAAGAAAAACAAAAGCCUAUGUCAAAUUGGAUAGAGAGACUCCUGUAAUUAAAAAUAUAUCUUAGAGACAUUACUUCAUACCUAUUAGGAUGGCUAUUAUUUUAAAAAU